AUUGAACGCUGGCGGCAGGCCUAACACAUGCAAGUCGAACGGUAGCACAGAGAGCUUGCUCUCGGGUGACGAGUGGCGGACGGGUGAGUAAUGUCUGGGAAACUGCCCGAUGGAGGGGGAUAACUACUGGAAACGGUAGCUAAUACCGCAUAACGUCGCAAGACCAAAGUAGGGGACCUUCGGCCUCACACCAUCGGAUGUGCCCAGAUGGGAUUAGCUAGUAGGUGGGGUAAUGGCUCACCUAGGCGACGAUCCCUAGCUGGUCUGAGAGGAUGACCAGCCACACUGGAACUGAGACACGGUCCAGACUCCUACGGGAGGCAGCAGUGGGGAAUAUUGCACAAUGGGCGCAAGCCUGAUGCAGCCAUGCCGCGUGUAUGAAGAAGGCCUUCGGGUUGUAAAGUACUUUCAGCGGGGAGGAAGGCGGUGAAGUUAAUAGCUUCACCGAUUGACGUUACCCGCAGAAGAAGCGCCGGCUAACUCCGUGCCAGCAGCCGCGGUAA
rnacentral:rRNA from 1 species